rnacentral:rRNA from 1 species
ACAUGAAUCCCUCAUCAAUAACAGGCUAACCUAUAUUACAAUAGGAGAAUUAAUGCUAGAAUGAGUAACCAGGGUAACCCCCUCUACGACGCAAGCUUACAUCUGUACAUUAUUAACAAGCACCCAAUAUACGACAAACCCAACAAGCAGAGUAUUAAACAUCUUGUUAACCCAACAGAGGAGCGUCCGUUAAGAAAGAUUAAACCCUGUAAAAGGAACUCGGCAAACCCGUCAAGGCCCGACUGUUUACCAAAAACAUAGCCUUCAGCAAACCAAAGGACAAGUAUUGAAGGUGAUGCCUGCCCGGUGACAUAGUUCAACGGCCGCGGUAUCCUAACCGUGCAAAGGUAGCGCAAUCAAUUGUCCCGUAAAUCGGGACACGUAUGAAUGGCUAAACGAGGUCUUAACUGUCUCUUACAGGCAAUCGGUGAAAUUGAUCUCCCUGUGCAAAAGCAGGGAUAACCCCAUAAGACGAGAAGACCCUGUGGAACUUCAAAAACAGCAACCACCCCAAUAUACAUCCACACCCAAAGCACUGGUUCGCAUUUUUUCGGUUGGGGCGACCUUGGAGCAAAACAAAACCUCCAAAAACUGGACCAUCCCUCCAGACUGAGAGCAACCCCUCAACGUGCCAAAAGCACCCAGACCCAAUACAAUUGAUCAAUGGACCAAGCUACCCCAGGGAUAACAGCGCAAUCUCCCCCGAGAGUCCAUAUCGACGGGGAGGUUUACGACCUCGAUGUUGGAUCAGGACAUCCUAGUGGUGCAGGAGCUACUAAGGGUUCGUUUGUUCAACGAUUAACAGUCCUACGUGAUCUGAGUUCAGACCGGAGCAAUCCAGGUCGGUUUCUAUCUAUGAUGAACUCUUCCUCGUACGAAAGGAUCGGAAAAGUGAGGCCAAUACCACAAGCAAGCCUUCGCCUUAAGUAAUGAAGCCAACUCAAUUACAAAAGGCUAUCACACCACCACGUCCAAGAAAAGGACGUGA